AUGCAACAAGGGCAUCCCUUGGCAUUCUUCAGUAAGGCACUGGGCCCUAGGAAUCAGGCACUUUCCACGUAUGACAAGGAGUGCCUAGCUAUCAUCCUGGCUAUUGACAAAUGGAAAUCCUAUCUGCAACACAACCCUUUUGUUAUUCACACGGAUCAGAAAAGCUUGGUCCAAUUGGGAGACCACAAAUUCAACACCCACAUCCAACAAAAAGCAUUUUUCAAACUCAUGGGGCUGCAGUACAAAAUCUUCUACAAGCCUGGCAUCACCAACAAAGCUGCAGAUGCACUAUCAAGAAGAGAGCAUGACCAGGAGGUUUAUGCCAUAUCUGCUGUUCAACCAAAAUGGCUCGACACCGUGAUAGAAGGCUAUCGGCUAGACCCAAAAGCACAACAAUUGCUUACAGAACUGAGUUUGAGCAACACAAAUGACAAGGGGUUUUCCCUGGUGAAUGGCAUCAUUAAAUACAAAAACAGGGUUUGGCUGGGCACUCACAAAGCAGCUCAUGCAGCAGUGCUGUUGGCCCUGCACAGCAGUGCAAUGGGGGGGCACUCUGGUUUUCUGGCAACAUAUCACAGAAUCAGAAAACUCUUUGCUUGGCCACACAUGAAGGAGGACAUCCAGAAAUUUGUGCAAACCUGUGAGGUAUGUCAGCAGGCCAAGACCGAGCACAACAAAUCUCCGGGGCUGCUCCAACCCCACAACAUUCCACCUGAAGCAUGGCACACAGUCAGCCUAGACUUCAUCGAGGGACUGCCAAAGUCGGGCAAGUUUGACGCCAUCAUGGUGGUGGUGGACAAGUUCUCGAAAGUGGGACACUUCAUUCCGUUGAAGCAUCCCUUUACUGCUGCCACGGUGGCCCAGAUAUACAUGGAUCAGAUUUAUAGGCUGCACGGUAUGCCAGAGGUGCUUAUCUCUGACAGGGAUAAAAUCUUCAUCAGCAGUUUUUGGCAACAAAUGUUCAAUUUGGCGGAUACCACCCUCAACAUGAGCUCAUCGUAUCACCCGCAGACGGAUGGUCAAACGGAGAGGCUGAACCAAUGUUUGGAGACAUACUUGCGCUGCAUGGUACACUCCAAGCCAAGUCAGUGGGCGAAGUGGCUGCCUCAAGCGGAACAUUGGUACAACACAACUUUCCAUUCCUCUCUUGGAAGAUCACCAUUUGAAGUUCUGUAUGGGCGCUCCCCCAGAAAUUUUGGAGUACCCACAACACCAGAAGGCACAAACCCAGAUCUGGCUAGCUGGUUGGAGGAGCGCGCGGAAAUGCUGCCUCUGUUCAAACAACAUCUAGAGAGGGCCCAACAACGCAUGACUUACCAAGCCAACAAGAAAUGCCUGGAACGCAGCUUUCAAGUGGGAGAUCGCGUUUACUUGAAACUACAACCCUAUGUGCAGCAAUCGUUGGAACCCCGCAGCUCCCAGAAGCUAUCCUUCAGGUAUUUUGGGCCGUACACCAUUUUGCAGAGAAUUGGACCGGUCGCGUACAAGCUGGACCUGCCUCCCACAUCACGCAUUCACCCAGUGGUUCACGUCUCGCUGCUGAAGAAGGCGCUUCGAGCAGGGGAUAUAGAUGCAGCACCACUGCCGGUGGCAAUGAUUUCAGAACAACAGCUGUGCCAACCAGUUCGGAUUUCGGGCGAAAGGUUUGUAAAGCAAGGGAACAAGCUCAAGGCUCAAGUUCAGGUACAGUGGGAAGGUUUGCAAGAAGAUCACACCACCUGGGAGGAGGUGUUCUCCAUCGUCGCUGCUUAUCCUACGGCACCAGCUUGGGGACAAGCUGUCUCUCCAGGAGGGGGUAUUGUCACGACCUCGUGUCUGCCAGAAGCCAUCAAGAUUCAGAAGAGAACAGAUGAAAGGCAGCGACAACGUGAGGCCCAAGUGGACUCCGAAGCCCAGCGGCGCAACAAGGCCAAGCCCAGUCCAGAGCCACUGGACGAGAGUAUUUGGUCAGGGUCUGCGAGUGGAUGA
rnacentral:rRNA from 1 species